rnacentral:rRNA from 1 species
AAAGGAAUAGACGGGGGCCCGCACAAGCGGCGGAGCAUGCGGAUUAAUUCGAUGCAACGCGAAGAACCUUACCUGGGUUUGACAUAUAGGGAAAUCCUCCAGAGAUGGGGGGUCCGUUAGGGUCCUAUACAGGUGGUGCAUGGCUGUCGUCAGCUCGUGUCGUGAGAUGUUGGGUUAAGUCCCGCAACGAGCGCAACCCUUGUCGCAUGUUGCCAGCGCGCCCUUCGGGGUGGCGGGGACUCAUGCGAGACUGCCGGGGUCAACUCGGAGGAAGGUGGGGAUGACGUCAAGUCAUCAUGCCCCUUAUGUCCAGGGCUUCACGCAUGCUACAAUGGCCGGUACAGAGGGCUGCGAUGCUGUAAGGCGGAGCGAAUCCCUAAAAGCCGGUCUCAGUUCGGAUUGGGGUCUGCAACUCGACCCCAUGAAGUCGGAGUCGCUAGUAAUCGCAGAUCAGCAACGCUGCGGUGAAUACGUUCCCGGGCCUUGUACACACCGCCCGU